rnacentral:rRNA from 1 species
AAUGAACGCUGGCGGCAGGCCUAACACAUGCAAGUCGAGCGGAGCGGCGGACGGGUGAGUAAUGCCUAGGAAGCUGCCUGGUAGUGGGGGAUACCGUACGGAAACGGGCGAUAAUACCAAAGACUAUCAGAUGGGAGUAGGUCGGAUUAGCUAGUUGGUGGGGUAAAGGCCUACCAAGGCGACGAGCGGUAACUGGUCUGAGAGGAUGAUCAGUCACACGGGGACUGAGACACGGCCCAGACUCCUACGGGAGGCAGCAGUAGGGAAUCUUGGGCAAUGGGCGAAAGCCUGAGCCAGCCAUGCCGCGUGUGUGAAGAAGGUCUUCGGAUUGUAAAACUCUUUUGGUUGGGAAGCGUUACCUAAAGAAUAAGCACCGGCUAACUACGUGCCAGCAGCCGCGGUAAUAC